CCCUACCUCAACAAGUCAAAACUAUAACACAAAUGUGUCAACAGAACUCUUUUCUCUCAGCUCAAAACCAACGGCAACCGAAACCUCAGCCGCUGAUCACUUUCGCAGCAAUCAUAGCAACUUAAAAGCGACAUGCAAAAUACAGAUUA